rnacentral:rRNA from 1 species
AACUCUGGGAUAAGCCUGGGAAACUGGGUCUAAUACCGGAUAUGACUCCUCAUCGCAUGGUGGGGGNUGGAAAGCUUUAUUGUGGUUUUGGAUGGACUCGCGGCCUAUCAGCUUGUUGGUGAGGUAAUGGCUUACCAAGGCGACGACGGGUAGCCGGCCUGAGAGGGUGACCGGCCACACUGGGACUGAGACACGGCCCAGACUCCUACGGGAGGCAGCAGUGGGGAAUAUUGCACAAUGGGCGCAAGCCUGAUGCAGCGACGCCGCGUGAGGGAUGACGGCCUUCGGGUUGUAAACCUCUUUCAGUAGGGAAGAAGCGAAAGUGACGGUACCUGCAGAAGAAGCGCCGGCUAACUACGUGCCAGCAGCCGCGGUAAUACGUAGGGCGCAAGCGUUAUCCGGAAUUAUUGGGCGUAAAGAGCUCGUAGGCGGUUUGUCGCGUCUGCCGUGAAAGUCCGGGGCUCAACUCCGGAUCUGCGGUGGGUACGGGCAGACUAGAGUGAUGUAGGGGAGACUGGAAUUCCUGGUGUAGCGGUGAAAUGCGCACAUAUCAGGAGGAACACCGAUGGCGAAGGCAGGUCUCUGGGCAUUAACUG